AAAAUAAAUAAAUAUAUACAUCAGACAUGCCAAAUCUGCAGAAAAAACUCAGAAAUUGGGCUUGUUUUGGCUUAAUUGGCUUCUGAGUUGCUUGUUGGCUAGUUUUUGGCUUGUAGCUUGUU